CAGCAGCCACGGGAAUACAGAGGGUGAAGCGUUGUUCGGAAUUAUUGGGCGUAAAGCGCGUGUAGGCGGCGUGACAAGUCGGGUGUGAAAGCCCUCAGCUCAACUGAGGAAGUGCGCCCGAAACUGUCGUGCUUGAGUGCCGGAGAGGGUGGCGGAAUUCCCCAAGUAGAGGUGAAAUUCGUAGAUAUGGGGAGGAACACCGGUGGCGAAGGCGGCCACCUGGACGGUAACUGACGCUGAGACGCGAAAGCGUGGGGAGCAAACAGGAUUAGAUACCCCGGUAGUCCCUGUCUCUUAUACA
rnacentral:rRNA from 1 species